GAGUCUGAAUAGGGCGACUAGUUGCAUGCCGUAGACCCGAAACCGGGUGACCUAUCCAUGGCCAGGUUGAAGCGAGGGUAAAACCUCGUGGAGGACCGAACCACGUUGCUGUUGAAAAAGCAUGGGAUGAGCUGUGGAUAGCGGAGAAAUUCCAAUCGAACCCGGAGAUAGCUGGUUCUCUCCGAAAUAGCUUUAGGGCUAGCGUCGAGUAUGAGUAGUGGAGGUAGAGCACUGAAUGGGCUAGGGGGCAUAGCGCUUACCGAACCUUAUCAAACUCCGAAUGCCACAUACUUUGAGCUCGGCAGUCAGACUACGAAUGAUAAGAUCCGUGGUCAAAAGGGAAACAGCCCAGAUCGUCAGCUAAGGUCCCAAAGUGUAAGUUAAGUGGGAAAGGAUGUGAGAUUUCUAAGACAACUAGGAUGUUGGCUUAGAAGCAGCCAUUCAUUAAAAGAGUGCGUAAUAGCUCACUAGUCGAGAGAUCUUGCGCCGAAAAUGUAACGGGGCUAAACUUACC
rnacentral:rRNA from 1 species